AAUAAAGUUGUUGCAGUUAAAAGCUCGAUAGUUGAACCUUGGGCUUGGUUGGCCGGUCCGCUUUAUGGCGAGUACUGGACCCAACCGAGCCUUUCCUUCUGGCUAACCUUUCGCCCUUGUGGUGUUUGGAGAACCAGGACUUUUACUUUGAAAAAAUUAGAGUGUUCAAAGCAGGCCUUUGCUCGAAUAUAUUAGCAUGGAAUAAUAGAAUAGGACGUUAUGGUUCUAUUUUGUUGGUUUCUAGGACCAUCGUAAUGAUUAAUAGGGACGGUCGGGGGCAUCAGUAUUCAGUUGUCAGAGGUGAAAUUCUUGGAUUUACUGAAGACUAACUACUGCGAAAGCAUUUGCCAAGGACGUUUUCAUUAAUCAAGAACGAAAGUUAGGGGAUCGAAGAUGAUCAGAUACCGUCGUAGUCUUAACCAUAAACUAUGCCGACUAGGGAUCGGGUGUUGUUCUUUUUUUGACGCACUCGGCACCUUACGAGAAAUCAAAGUCUUUGGGUUCUGGGGGGAGUAUGGUCGCAAGGCUGAAACUUAAAGGAAUUGACGGAAGGGCACCACCAGGAGUGGAGCCUGCGGCUUAAUUUGACUCAACACGGGGAAACUCACCAGGUCCAGACACAAUAAGGAUUGACAGAUUGAGAGCUCUUUCUUGAUUUUGUGGGUGGUGGUGCAUGGCCGUUCUUAGUUGGUGGAGUGAUUUGUCUGCUUAAUUGCGAUAACGAACGAGACCUUAACCUACUAAAUAGUGCUGCUAGCUUUUGCUGGUAUAGUCACUUCUUAGAGGGACUAUCGAUUUCAAGUCGAUGGAAGUUUGAGGCAAUAACAGGUCUGUGAUGCCCCUUAGACGUUCUGGGCCGCACGCGCGCUACACUGACGGAGCCAGCGAGUUCUAACCUUGGCCGAGAGGUCUGGGUAAUCUUGUGAAACUCCGUCGUGCUGGGAAAGCAUUGUAAUUAUGGCUCUUC
rnacentral:rRNA from 1 species